rnacentral:misc_RNA from 1 species
GAUGAAGAACGUAGCGAAAUGCGAUAAGUAAUGUGAAUUGCAGAAUUCAGUGAAUCAUCGAAUCUUUGAACGCACAUUGCGCCCGCCAGUAUUCUGGCGGGCAUGCCUGUUCGAGCGUCAUUUCAACCAUCAAGCCCCCGGCUUGUGUUGGGGACCUGCGGCUGCCGCAGGCCCUGAAAACCAGUGGCGGGCUCGCUAGUCACUCCGAGCGUAGUAAUACAUCUCGCUCAGGGCGUGCUGCGGGUUCCGGCCGUUAAAAAGCCUUAUUUACCCAAGGUUGACCUCGGAUCAGGUAGGAAGACCCGCUGAACUUAAGCAUAUCAAUAAGCGGACGA